UCUGUGCAGUCACAGCAUCUCAAGCUAUGAGACCAGCUUUACAAGCUAAGUUAGAGCAGCCUGAUCAGUACUGUACUUGAAUGGGAGACCACCCAGGAAAAGCUAGAUGCUGCAAGAA
rnacentral:rRNA from 1 species